GAUGAACGCUAGCGACAGGCUUAACACAUGCAAGUCGAGGGGCAGCACAGGUAGCAAUACCGGGUGGCGACCGGCGCACGGGUGAGUAACGCGUAUGCAACUUACCUAUCAGAGGGGGAUAACCCGGCGAAAGUCGGGCUAAUACCGCAUGAAGCAGGGGUCCCGCAUGGGGAUAUUUGCUAAAGAUUCAUCGCUGAUAGAUAGGCAUGCGUUCCAUUAGGCAGUUGGCGGGGUAACGGCCCACCAAACCGACGAUGGAUAGGGGUUCUGAGAGGAAGGUCCCCCACAUUGGUACUGAGACACGGACCAAACUCCUACGGGAGGCAGCAGUGAGGAAUAUUGGUCAAUGGCCGAGAGGCUGAACCAGCCAAGUCGCGUGAGGGAUGAAGGUUCUAUGGAUCGUAAACCUCUUUUAUAAGGGAAUAAAGUGCGGGACGUGUCCCGUUUUGUAUGUACCUUAUGAAUAAGGAUCGGCUAACUCCGUG
rnacentral:rRNA from 1 species